rnacentral:rRNA from 1 species
AUGUUGUAUGGCGCUGAGUGUUGGCCGACGAAAAGGCGACAUGUUCAACAGUUAGGCGUGGCGGAGAUGCGCUUGUUGAGAUGGAUGUGUGGCCACACGAGGAAGGAUCGAGUCUGGAAUGAUGAUAUACGAGAUAGAGUUGGGGUAGCAGCAAUUGAAGAGAAGCUUGUCCAACAUCGUCUGAGAUGGUUUCUGCAUAUUCAGCGCAGGCCUCCAGAAGCUCCAGUGCAUAGCGGACGGCUAAAGCAUGCGGAUAAUGUCAAGAGAGGUUGGGGUAGACUGAAUUUGACAUGGGAGGAGUCCGUAACGAGAGAUCUGAAGGAUUGGAGUAUCACCAAAGAACUAGCUAUGGACAGGGGUGCGUGGAAACUUGCUAUCCAUGUGCCAGAACCAUGA